rnacentral:rRNA from 1 species
AUACGUAGGGGGCGAGCGUUGUCCGGAAUGAUUGGGCGUAAAGGGCGCGUAGGCGGCUUUGCAGGUCAGUAGUGGAAGUCCAUUUUUCAAGGAUGGAAGUGCUACAGAAACUGCGGAGCUUGAGUGCAGGAGAGGUUAUCGGAACUCCCGGUGUAGCGGUGGAAUGCGUAGAGAUCGGGAGGAACACCAGUGGCGAAGGCGGGUAACUGGACUGCAACUGACGCUGAGGCGCGAAAGUGUGGGGAGCAAACAGGAUUAGAUACCCUGGUAGUCCACACUGUAAACGAUGAAUGCUAGGUGUAGGAGGUAUCGACCCCUUCUGUGCCGCAGUAAGCACAGUAAGCAUUCCGCCUGGGGAGUACGGUCGCAAGAUUAAAACUCAAAGGAAUUGACGGGG